rnacentral:rRNA from 1 species
UACAGAGGGUGCGAGCGUUGUCCGGAAUCACUGGGCGUAAAGGGCGCGUAGGCGGCUUGAUAAGCGUGCGGUGAAAGCCCGGGGCUCAACCCCGGGUCGGCCGUGCGAACUGUCGAGCUGGAGCACUGUAGAGGCAGGUGGAAUUCCGGGUGUAGCGGUGGAAUGCGUAGAGAUCCGGAAGAACACCGGUGGCGAAGGCGGGUCUGCUGGGCAGUUGCUGACACUGAGGCGCGACAGGCGUGGGGAGCAAACAGG